rnacentral:lncRNA from 1 species
CUUGUGAAAGGAACGCCGCCUGGCGUUUCUCAGUUCCUGCUUGACUGUGAGAACUUCUGCUGGAUAUUUGCUCCCUAUUAUAAUGCUAAAUCUUUGGAAUAUAAGCAACCGGAGUCUAACGGCGUUCUGAAUAAGAUCUGCCUGGAACAGAGCAGCCCGAUGGGAAACAAAACUCAAGUGAAAGGGGGUGGAGGUGGUGGUGGAGGAGCAACCUAUGUGUUCAAGGUGAAUCGAGGCGUGUAUGUCCCUCUCAUCAUUGCUGCUGGGGGCGGUGGUCGAGGCUACAGCAGCCAAUCAGAGACACAGCUGGAGCAGAUGGACUAUGACCUCAGCCAACCAGGACGCAAUGGAAAGUCCAACGCUGCAGGUAUAGACAAAGUACAACUCUGGUGUAUGUUUGUAGUGUUUGUAUUAGAACAAAGUGUGUUCGUGUUCAUUUGGACCAGAUGGAGGCAGGGGUAGACUGGGACA